rnacentral:rRNA from 1 species
ACUCCUACGGGAGGCAGCAGUGGGAAUAUUGCACAAUGGGCGCAAGCCUGAUGCAGCCAUGCCGCGUGUGUGAAGAAGGCCUUCGGGUUGUAAAGCACUUUCAGUUGUGAGGAAGGUGGUGUCGUUAAUAGCGGCAUCAUUUGACGUUAGCAACAGAAGAAGCACCGGCUAACUCCGUGCCAGCAGCCGCGGUAAUACGGAGGGUGCGAGCGUUAUCCGGAUUUAUUGGGUUUAAAGGGUCCGUAGGCGGGUUAAUAAGUCAGUGGUGAAAUCCCAUCGCUUAACGAUGGAACUGCCAUUGAUACUGUUAGUCUUGAAUGAGGGUGCAGUGGUUGGAAUGUGUAGUGUAGCGGUGAAAUGCAUAGAUAUUACACAGAACACCGAUUGCGAAGGUAGAUCACUAACCCUAAAUUGACGCUGAGGGACGAAAGCGUGGGGAGCGAACAGGAUUAGAUACCCUGCAGGCUCUG